CCUAUGGGAGGCAGCAGGCGCGAAAACUUUACAAUGCUGGCAACAGCGAUAAGGGAACCUCGCGUGCCAGGUUACAAAUCUGGCUGUCGAGAUGCCUAAAAAGCAUUUCAUAGCAAGGGCCGGGCAAGACCGGUGCCAGCCGCCGCGGUAACACCGGCGGCUCGAGUGGUAACCGUUAUUAUUGGGUCUAAAGGGUCUGUAGCCGGCCGGAUAAGUCUCUUGAGAAAUCUGGCAGCUUAACUGUCAGGCUUUCAGGAGAUACUGUCUGGCUCGAGGCCGGUAGAGGUGAGAGGUACUUCAGGGGUAGGGGUGAAAUCUUGUAAUCCUUGAAGGACCACCAGUGGCGAAGGCGUCUCACCAGAACUGACCUGACGGCAAGGGACGAAAGCUAGGGGCACGAACC
rnacentral:rRNA from 1 species